UAGGGAAUAUUGGACAAUGGGCGAAAGCCUGAUCCAGCAAUGCCGCGUGAGUGAUGAAGGCCUUAGGGUUGUAAAGCUCUUUUACCCGGGAUGAUAAUGACAGUACAGGGAGAAUAAGCUCCGGCUAACUCCGUGCAAGCAGCAGCGGUAAUACGGAGGGAGCUAGCGUUGUUAGGAAUUACUGGGCGUAAAGCGCACGUAGGCGGCUAUUCAAGUCAGAGGUGAAAGCCCGGGGCUCAACCCCGGAACUGCCUUUGAAACUAGAUAGCUUGAAUCCAGGAGAGGUGAGUGGAAUUCCGAGUGUAGAGGUGAAAUUCGUAGAUAUUCGGAAGAACACCAGUGGCGAAGGCGGCUCACUGGACUGGUAUUGACGCUGAGGUGCGAAAGCGUGGGGAGCAAACA
rnacentral:rRNA from 1 species